rnacentral:rRNA from 1 species
UACGUAGGGUCCGAGCGUUGUCCGGAAUUACUGGGCGUAAAGAGCUCGUAGGUGGUUGUCGCGUUGUUCGUGAAAACUCACAGCUCAACUGUGGGCGUGCGGGCGAUACGGGCAGACUUGAGUACUGCAGGGGAGACUGGAAUUCCUGGUGUAGGCGGUGGAAUGCGCAGAUAGUCAGGAGGAACACCGGUGGCGAAGGCGGGUCUCUGGGCAGUAACUGACGCUGAGGAGCGAAAGCGUGGGGAGCGAACAGG